rnacentral:rRNA from 1 species
CGCUGGCGGCGUGCCUAACACAUGCAAGUCGAACGGGACUGAUUGGAAAGCGGCUUCGGCCAAUGGAAGAUCGGUUUAGUGGCGAACGGGUGAGUAACACGUGAGGAACCUGCCUUUCAGUGGGGGACAACAGUUAGAAAUGGCUGCUAAUACCGCAUAAGCGCACAGUACCGCAUGGUACCGUGUGAAAAACUCCGGUGGUAUGAGAUGGACCCGCGUCUGAUUAGCUAGUUGGUAAGGUAACGGCUUACCAAGGCGACGAUCAGUAGCCGGCCUGAGAGGGUGAACGGCCACAUUGGGACUGAGACACGGCCCAAACUCCUACGGGAGGCAGCAGUGGGGAAUAUUGCACAAUGGGGGAAACCCUGAUGCAGCGACGCCGCGUGAGUGAAGAAGUAUUUCGGUAUGUAAAGCUCUAUCAGCAAGGAAGAAAAUGACGGUACUUGACUAAGAAGCCCCGGCUAACUACGUG